UGACAAAAUCUCAGGUCAACUAUACAAUGAAUAUAUUCAUCUUUGCUUACACGCAACAUUUUUUUCCCCCUAAAAAUUAGAUUUACAUUCGAGUAAAAAAUUUAUGAGAAAAAUGUUAAUUUAUAAUAUAACAGAUCGAAGUGAGGAAUAAAAUCCCACAUCAAGUUUUCAAAAUCCAAAACGACUUGCAACUUUUAACAUCGCGAACUCACGAGUCACGAUUCGCCCAUAUGCCCGGCGAACACAACGGUCAAGUAACUACCACGCAAGAAGAUCACUUUAAAAAGAAAUGUCCGGGUCAGACGCCGACUCAACCCAGUCUCAGGACGUUAAUAGUGUGAAUGUGACACCCGAUAUCCCAAUUGAGAUCGUGAGCGAAGAAGAGAUGGCUCUCAUUGAUGCAGCCUUAGCAGCACCUCGCUGCUGUUCCCCAUCAUCAUCAUUAUCAUUUGCUUCUCAAUUACAACGAAACGCGAGGUUCAUUCACUCUAUUAGUNNN
rnacentral:lncRNA from 1 species